CAGGGAGACAACACAAUGAUUUUGAUGCCUGAGUGCUUUUAUUCUUAGGCCGAAAUCCUGUCACCUUAGGUCGAUCGGUACCUCAGCAUUAAGAGCAGUGAUUGAUGAGCAAUCAUCAAGAGACUGAAGGAGAUGUUCAGUUCCUAAACUUUGUCUAGGUCACACCCCAAAAGGGAUGAGACUCCUGGGCCAUUAGCUCAGGUGGUUAGAGCGCACCCCUGAUAAGGGUGAGGUCCCUGGUUCAAGUCCAGGAUGGCCCAUUCGGUGUUGGGGGUUUAGCUCAGUUGGUAGAGCGCCUGCUUUGCAAGCAGGAUGUCAGGAGUUCGAGUCUCCUAACCUCCACUGACCGAACUUGAUUCCCAUCUCCGGAUUGUUGGAGUUGAGCUCGAUUGGAGUGUGAUUUAGAUGUGUCCGCUGGAUGACCCCAGCUUCCUGUCAUUCCAAGUUUUAGGUUGAAGCCUUGAAUUUGGUUGAUAAGAUGCUGGGCUCGGAUCAAAUGAUCAAGCAAUUGAUGAUUUGAUUUGAAGUUCUAGCAGAACCUUGACAACUGCAUAGGUGAAGUCUGGAAAAACAAAGCAUCUUACAGAUGCAUUGUUUUGAGUCUGAUCUUCCGAAAGGGAGAUUGGAUCCAGAACAAUGAAAAUUCUUUUGAGCAAGAGCCGAGACUCUUGAGCGUUCUUUGAUUCGUGUCGAGCGAAUCAGAGUUUGAUCUUGUUUUUAGCAAUAAAAACUUGAGAAUCUGCUUUCAACGGCGGUAAGCGUUCAGGAGGUUAAUU
rnacentral:tRNA from 1 species